GAAGACGAAACCUUAGAUAAGUGUUGUAAUUAACAGCUAUCUGACCCAAUUAGCAAUGGAGGAUCAGGAUGGCAGUCUCUGGACAAUUAAGGUCGGGCAGACGUCACACUGAAACGCUGUUCGUGUCUACACUGACAACAGAGUCCACAACAGCGGAGAUGAUCGCCUAAGUCUGUCAACAAAGCAGUCCUGCACUAUGUCAAAGGUUUUCAUGAUGAAUCACCUCAUAAUAACCGUACUCUGCUUGUCUGAAUGCAGACCGCCGCCAAAUAACUGGAAUACUGUUGAGUGCAGCGUUACACAACAUCAAAACCAAACCAAAUUCUUCCGUGACAAUGAACCAGAACCAUAAUAUUGGUGAGUGUGGCGUUAAACAACCAAUAAUGGCGUUAAUGAUUAAUGGACACGAUAUUGUGUGACCAGUAUAACCUGCAUUAACCCCACUGUUGUACCUGCUACUGGCGCCAACAAGACAACAGUGACAGGUGAGUGUUGUGUUUGUUGAAGGGUUAAACUUAAAGGCCAGACAAUCAUGGCUGCCAGCUGUUAAGGGUCAUCAAGUGCACUGAGUCCCCCCUUCCUGUCUGGAUCAGUUUAAACUUCAGUAGUGCAUACAUUUCUAAGGAUAAUUUGCAUGUUAGCGUGUACAUUUAAUUCCUUAAUUUGUUAGCUUGAUAUGAGAU